GCCGCGGCGAUAGCUCAGUGGGUAAAGCGCCAGGUGAGAAGGUGGCGAAGUAGCCGCGGCGAUAGCUCAGCGGGUAAAGCGCCAGGUGAGAAGGUGGCGAUUACUCCGAGAGCUAUUAUCCGCGCGGGUUCGAAUCCCGCCUGUGGCA